rnacentral:rRNA from 1 species
GGUGAGUAAUACUUAGGAAUCUACCUAGUAGUGGGGGAUAGCUCGGGGAAACUCGAAUUAAUACCGCAUACGACCUACGGGAGAAAGGGGGCAACUUGUUGCUCUCGCUAUUAGAUGAGCCUAAGUCGGAUUAGCUAGAUGGUGGGGUAAAGGCCUACCAUGGCGACGAUCUGUAGCUGGUCUGAGAGGAUGAUCAGCCACACCGGGACUGAGACACGGCCCGGACUCCUACGGGAGGCAGCAGUGGGGAAUAUUGGACAAUGGGGGAAACCCUGAUCCAGCCAUGCCGCGUGUGUGAAGAAGGCCUUUUGGUUGUAAAGCACUUUAAGCAGUGAAGAAGACUCUUCGGUUAAUACCCGGAGACGAUGACAUUAGCUGCAGAAUAAGCACCGGCUAACUCUGUGCCAGCAGCCGCGGUAAUACAGAGGGUGCAAGCGUUAAUCGGAAUUACUGGGCGUAAAGCGAGCGUAGGUGGCUUGAUAAGUCAGAUGUGAAAUCCCCGGGCUUAACCUGGGAACUGCAUCUGAUACUGUCAGGCUAGAGUAGGUGAGAGGAAGGUAGAAUUCCAGGUGUAGCGGUGAAAUGCGUAGAGAUCUGGAGGAAUACCGAUGGCGAAGGCAGCCUUCUGGCAUCAUACUGACACUGAGGCUCGAAAGCGUGGGUAGCAAACAGGAUUAGAUACCCUGGUAGUCCACGCCGUAAACGAUGUCUACUAGUCGUUGGGUCCCUUGAGGACUUAGUGACGCAGCUAACGCAAUAAGUAGACCGCCUGGGGAGUACGGCCGCAAGGUUAAAACUCAAAUGAAUUGACGGGGGCCCGCACAAGCGGUGGAGCAUGUGGUUUAAUUCGAUGCAACGCGAAGAACCUUACCUGGUCUUGACAUAUCUAGAAUCCUGCAGAGAUGCGGGAGUGCCUUCGGGAAUUAGAAUACAGGUGCUGCAUGGCUGUCGUCAGCUCGUGUCGUGAGAUGUUGGGUUAAGUCCCGCAACGAGCGCAACCCUUGUCCUUAGUUACCAGCGGGUUAAGCCGGGAACUCUAAGGAUACUGCCAGUGACAAACUGGAGGAAGGCGGGGACGACGUCAAGUCAUCAUGGCCCUUACGACCAGGGCUACACACGUGCUACAAUGGUAGGUACAGAGGGCAGCUACACAGCGAUGUGAUGCGAAUCUCAAAAAGCCUAUCGUAGUCCAGAUUGGAGUCUGCAACUCGACUCCAUGAAGUAGGAAUCGCUAGUAAUCGCGGAUCAGAAUGCCGCGGUGAAUACGUUCCCGGGCCUUGUACACACCGCCCGUCACACCAUGGGAGUUGAUUGCACCAGAAGUG